GAAAGUUUUUUGUAUAUUAUAUGGAUGAUCCGAUCCGGAAGGACCAUAAUUGGGAAUUGUUUGAUCGUCUUUCUCUGAGGAAGAGGCAAAAUAGAAUCAACUUGAAUUCGGGACCACUAUUCCAAAUCUUACGAAACACUGGAUUUUUUAUCUCAUGUCUACUUUUCAUUAAAAAAUACCAAUUGAAGUGGAGGGUUUCUUCAAACAACAAGGGGCUGGUUCAACUAUUCAAUCAAAUGAUAUUGAGACAAAUAAACCAGUAAUCGUUGACGUUU
rnacentral:lncRNA from 1 species